rnacentral:rRNA from 1 species
CCCUUAGAUGUCCUGGGCCGCACGCGCGUUACACUGAUGCAUUCAACGAGCUUAUAACCUUGGCCGAGAGGCCUGGGCAAUCUUGUUAACGUGCAUCGUGAUAGGGAUAGAUUAUUGAAAUUAUUAAUCUUGAACGAGGAAUUCCUAGUAAGCGCAAGUCAUCAACUUGCGUUGAUUACGUCCCUGCCCUUUGUACACACCGCCCGUCGCUACUGCCAACUGAGAUGGGUCCUGAAUUGUUAGGAACGCCCGUCAAGGGGCCUACCCGGUCCCUAGUGCGGUGACGAGAAUAACUGUAAAUGGCAUAUCGUGUAGGGAGUAAAAGUCGUAACA